rnacentral:lncRNA from 1 species
CUUCCUGUUUCCUUCAGUUAUUGCCUCCCUAGCAUAGUAGCAAAAUGAAUUUCAUCUGCAAAUGGUGUUUUCAAAAUAAUGGUUCUUCUAAUAGAGCACAAUUAUCCACCAAAGAUGUAAAAGAAUGAUCAUAUGAUUACCCUUUCACUCAGUGAUACAGCUGAAAAAUAUGGAUACUAAUAGUAUGCUGUGAUUCUGGAGGAAGUAAUAGAUUAAAAGGGCAGGUGAGUAUUUUACUCAAGCUGUGGGUGAGUAAGGAGAUAGAAGCUGCUAUU